GUAAUUCUUCUGAAUUUCUUUCCAGCUCUGGGCAGCGCCAGGGACCCAGCAACCCAGGCUUGGAUCGCACCAAGGGCACCGCUGAGAGGAGGUUUCCAAGUGCUACUGAUGCUGCUGGACCAUAGUUUGAGACUGUACACCCCCAUCUGGACCCUAUUAAAAUGCAUCUCUUGACCAGUCACAGGAGGAGCCUGGGAUGGGGAGGAGAAGACCAAGGAGAGGAGAAGUCAAGACACGUUGACCUCAUAGGUACCAUGGAAAAGAUUAGGAGAAAGCCAAAACAAAGCUCAACACCAACACCACCACCAUCAACAGAAGAAAUCUCCUGAGCCAUUUUAGGCCCCAACAGCAAGCCAAGGAAGGCAAACUGGGAUGGGGGAGCAAGAGGGUAACCCAGGAUGGUGGCUAGAUGGGGUGAGUGGCUUCAGCAGCCAGAGAUCUUCCCUUAGGCCUAGGAGGUGACACAAGCAAUUCUCCCAGGAUCACCUUGAUGAAGCAAUAAAUUAAGGUAACAAGGUAGAAGGUCACCGAAACCUGGUCUCAGCGAGUCCCGGGGCACUCUCUCCUGCCAUGCAAACCAAGGGCCUGGCAGAGAAGUCUCCUCAUUCAUUCAGUUCAGUUCAGUCUCUCAGUUGUGUCCAACUCUUUGCAACCUCAUG
rnacentral:lncRNA from 1 species